CCUACGGGGGGCAGCAGUGGGGAAUUUUGGACAAUGGUGGAAACCCUGAUCCAGCCAUGCCGCGUGCGGGAAGAAGGCCUUCGGGUUGUAAACCGCUUUUGGUAGGGACGCGGUACCUGCAGAAUAAGCACCGGCUAACUACGUGCCAGCAGCCGCGGUAAUACGUAGGGUGCAAGCGUUAAUCGGAAUUACUGGGCGUAAAGGGUACGCAGGCGGUUUUUUAAGAUGGAUGUGAAAUCCCAGGGCUUAACCUUGGAACUGCAUUCAUAACUGGAAAGCUAGAGUACGGAAGAGGGGGGUAGAAUUCCACGUGUAGCAGUGAAAUGCGUAGAGAUGUGGAGGAAUACCGAUGGCGAAGGCAGCCCCCUGGACAUACUGACGCUCAUGUACGAAAGCGUGGGGAGCAAACAGGAUUAGAUACCCUUGUAGUC
rnacentral:rRNA from 1 species